AUGGACUUGCUAAUUGCUAAGGCCUUGUACAAUGCAAGGUGCUUAAGAGAGAUGCUUAGAGAAAUAAACAAGACUUUUCUUAAGCAUCGGUGCUUAUUUGUACAGGAUAGACGCUUAACUAGGCAUCUCUCCUGUAGAAAUAAGCACCGGUGCUUCAGAAAAGUCCGGUUUAUUUUUCUAAGCACCUCCCAAGCAUCUAGCAUUGUACAAGGCCUAAUUGAUCUUAACUGGUGCAGCCUUUAUGUUGAUGUUACUUGUUAUUUAAGUUCUAAAUCUCCUAAUAUGAAGGAUAGUGAUAAGCAAAACCUGCUGGAUGGGGCGUCAGCGAUCCGUAACUCUGCUGUUAGGACUCAUGAAGCUGCCCGUGCCUCUCCAAACAAUACUCUUCUUAGCAUUGCAGAGGCGGAGGAAGAAGAUGAAGGUGGUCAGUCUGGACGAGGAGAGGAAGACCGCCAGUAA
rnacentral:rRNA from 1 species